rnacentral:rRNA from 1 species
GAUGAACGCUGGCGGCGUGCCUAAUACAUGCAAGUCGAGCGAACGGACGCGAAGCUUGCUUCUCUGAUGUUAGCGGCGGACGGGUGAGUAACACGUGUAUACUCUACCUAUAAGACUGGGAUAACUUCGGGAAACCGGCUCUUAUCCCGGAUAAUCUUUUGAAGCACAUGGGUGAAAAGUGAAAGACGGUCGUGGUGUCACUUCUCGAUGGAUCCGCGCUGCAUUAGCUAGUUGGUAAGGUAACGGCUUACCACGGCAACUAUGCCUAGGCGACCUGAGAGGGUGAUCGCCCACACUGGAACGUAGACACGGUCCAGACGCCUGCGGGAGGCAGCAGUAGAGAAUCUGCCGCAAUGGUCGAAAGCCUGGCGGAGCGACGCCGCGUGAGUGAUGAAGGUCUUCGGAUCGUAAAACUCUGUUAUUAGGGAAGAACAUAUGUGUAAGUAACUGUGCACAGCUUGACGGUACCUAAUCAGAAAGCCACGGCUAACUACGUG